CAGUCUUUGCUUAAGUCUUUCCCUGGGCUCUGGUCAUACUUCCCUCCUGUGCUGUGCGAAAAAGGCUUUGAUCUUGAUAGCUACUUUAUUCCUAUCCUUGAAGUCUCGGAUGGAAGUUGGGAUUUCACAAGAACAUGCUUGACCGUCCUUCAUGUUCUGACCGACUAAAGGAUGUGAGACCGGGUUAGGUGUGAUACGAAGUCACUUGGGCAAAGGCAUGGUAAUGAAAGUGAGGCCAGGUCUCUUGAAAUUGGAUCGGCAGUCUCUCCAACAUAUGUUAAGGGAGGAGAUUCCUUUUAUAUUGGCCCGGCUAAGUCUACUCUUGACUUUCUUACUAUCCUCUUUCUUGCUGAGGGGCUUCCAAUUGUGUAAUACGAACCUAAAACUCUUCGACCUCCCCGUAAACCUGCUCUGAGGCCAACACUUAGUAAGUAGUACCUUGGGUCCAGUCCCAGUCAAAGGAGUUCCAGUUUCUUGCCUUCUUCCCCCUUGGAGACCAAGGCAUAGUUCUUCCUGUGCAACCAUAACAGAGUAUACCCUUUUUAUGGGAUCUGUUUCGGGAAGAAAAGUCUACAGUGCCCUACUGUCUACCCUUGUUCUAGCAGCUUGAAAUGCCUUUCUUCCUGACCUUGGCACUGGCUCCAACUCUGCUUAGUACCUCUAAGGCCAAGUCACUAAAUGUUUACUCGGAGGGAAAGCUUGAGAAGGAGGGUCAGGUCAAGAAUAUCAGGUUCAACUCUCUACGGUGACAUAUUAACAACAGUUUAUCCCACAUAAGCAUCUAAGCUGGGGUUGGGUGCCUGCUUUCUCAACUCUCUACGGUGACAUAUUAACAACAGUUUAUCCCACAUAAGCAUCUAAGCUGGGGUUGGGUGCCUGCUUUCAAAGCUUUCUAUGAGUCCACUGGAAAAAGAGUCUAAAGUCCUUCUUCACUCUAAGCUGACCCUGGAACAGACAUCAUAGUUCUUCCU
rnacentral:lncRNA from 1 species